GGUGAGUAAUGUAUCGGAACGUGCCCAGUAGUGGGGGAUAGCCCGGCGAAAGCCGGAUUAAUACCGCAUGAGACCUGAGGGUGAAAGCGGGGGAUCGCAAGACCUCGCGCUAUUGGAGCGGCCGAUAUCAGAUUAGCUAGUUGGUGGGGUAAAGGCCUACCAAGGCAACGAUCUGUAGUUGGCCUGAGAGGACGACCAGCCACACUGGGACUGAGACACGGCCCAGACUCCUACGGGAGGCAGCAGUGGGGAAUUUUGGACAAUGGGCGCAAGCCUGAUCCAGCAAUGCCGCGUGCAGGAAGAAGGCCUUCGGGUUGUAAACUGCUUUUGUCAGGGAAGAAAUCUUCUGGGCUAAUACCCCGGGAGGAUGACGGUACCUGAAGA
rnacentral:rRNA from 1 species